GGUUAAUGGAGUUUCUGCCUCUGUCCUUGGAGAUAAUUGGAUUACUUCCCAAUUAUCUCCAGGACAGAGAGGAAGGAUUGUGAUGCAUUGUGGGAUUGUUGAAAUGUGUAAGUCUGUGAUUGGUUCUUGUACCCUUUGUGUCCCAGACUCCCAUCUGGUCCCCUAGGGAAGUGUCCACCAGGUGGGAGACCUGCAUAAAAGCCGGGCAGUUAGUCCCAGUAAACCAGAUUCUGCUUAACCCUCAAACAAAGUGUCGUCUCGUUAUUGGGGGAAUUGGAUUGUAUGCUGACUGCCAGGAGUGUAAACCUUUCAUAUGGUUUUUCCU
rnacentral:lncRNA from 1 species